rnacentral:rRNA from 1 species
GACGAACGCUGGCGGCGUGCUUAACACAUGCAAGUCGAACGGAAAGGCCCUGCUUGUGUUGGGGGCUCGAGUGGCGAACGGGUGAGUAACACGUGAGUAACCUGCCCUUGACUUUGGGAUAACUUCAGGAAACUGGGGCUAAUACCGGAUAGGAGCUCCUGCUGCAGGGUGGGGGUUGGAAAGUUUCGGCGGUGGGGGAUGGACUCGCGGCUUAUCAGCUUGUUGGUGGGGUAGUGGCUUACCAAGGGUUUGACGGGUAGACGGCCUGAGAGGGUGACCGGCCCCAUUGGGACUGCGAUACGGACCAGACUCCUACGGGAGGCAGCAGUGGGGAAUAUUGCACAAUGGGCGGAAGCGUGAUGCAGAAACGCCGCGUGCGGGAUGACGGCCUUCGGGUUGUAAACCGCUUUCGCCUGUGACGAAGCGUGAGUGACGGUAAUGGGUAAAGAAGCACCGGCUAACUACGUG